AGCUGCAGCUGCCGGCUUACAUCACAGCCUCAGCAAAGCUGGAUCCAUAACCCACUGAGUGAGGCCAGGGAUCGAACCUGUGUCCUCAUGGAUACUAGUCGGGUUUGUUGCCACUGAGCCAUGACAGGAACUCCAGCUUUGCCUUGAAAUUUAAUGAAAUAUGUCUGUAAAACACCUUGGGUACAAAAACUGCUCAUGAAAAAUUAGCUGCUUCUUUAUAUAUACCCUCUCCUUCACCACCCCGUCCAGUCCUGACAGCAUCUGACUCAAGUGGGUAAUAUCUCAAGUUGCAAAUCCUUCCUGAAAGAAACACAAAGUAAAAGAACAAAGUGAGAGUCCCUAGGGGCAGUGAUUGUCACACAGGAACAGUGCAACAAAUUUAAAGCUCCGAAAAGGGAACCCUCCUGCACUGUUGGUGGGAAUGUCAACUGGUACAGCCACUAUGGAGAACAGUUUGGAGAUACCUUAGAAAUCUAUCCAUAGAACUUCCAUAUGACCCCACAAUCCCACUCUUGGGCAUAUAUCCAGACAAAACUCUACUUAAAAGAGACACAUGCACCUGCAUGUUCAUUGCAGCACUACUCACAAUAGCCAGGAUAUGGAAACAACCCAAAUGUCCAUCGACAGAUGAUUGGAUUUGGAAGAGGUGGUAUAUAUACACAAUGGAAUACUACUCAGCCAUGAAGAAGAAUGACAUAAUGCCAUUUGCAGCAACAUGGAUGGAACUAGAGAAUCUCAUACUGAGUGAAAUGAGCCAGAAAGACAAAGACAAUACCUUAUGAUAUCACUUAUAACUGGAAUCUAAUAUCCAGCACAAAUGAACACCUCCUCAGAAAAGAAAAUCAGGGACUUGGAGAAAAGACUUGUGGCUGCCUGAUGGGAGGGGGAGGGAGUGGGAGGGAUCGGGAGCUUGGGCUUAUCAGACACAACUUAGAAUAGAUUUACAAGGAGAUCCUGCUGAGUAGCAUUGAGAAGUAUGUCUAGAUACUCAUGUUGCAACAGAACAAAGGGUGGGGGAAAAAUGUAAUUGUAAUGUAUACAUGUAAGGAUAACUUGAUCCCCUUGCUGUACAGUGGGAAAAUAAAAAAAAAAAUUUUUUUGAAUAAAGAAAAAAAAAUUUAAAGCUCCCCAAAACCAAUGGACAACCCAUUCCUACCCUGCUGCUCCACCUGAGUUCCAGUCAACAAAGAAUCUCUGUUCACAGCUAAGUAUGUGUUUCUUAUAUCUGUAUUAUGCCAGAUGUUGAAAAUAGCUGCCUUCCCUGCCCCUGAAUGCUUAAGACCCAUAUCUUCUCAUCUUAGCGUACUGGCAAAGACAGUCCUUUUAAUUAGUUUUGUUCCCUCUCCCACAAGAAAGUACAUACAAGUACAAGCAUUUUAUCUGCCUUAGUUACCUUUGUUGUACAUUUGAUGAGUCCUUGAAAGUUCUCUAUUCAUUCACUCACCUUAGUCUUGCUAAAUACUUGUUAGGCAACUAAGAUCUGAUAACAUUGUGCUUCUUAGUGAGUGUACAUCCUUGCUCACUCAGUUUGAGUGGGUUGGCUGAAUUGGUGGGUUUUCUGUAUUUGGUAUUGUGUGUGUGGGUUGGUUUGUCCCUCUCUGAGAAUAACGUCCAUAUGUAAGUCCUGGGGAAAGUAUUGAAUUCCUACUACAAAGCUAACUACUCUUCCUUGGGUAAAGUGACAUCUCUAGAGGAUGACCAGUGGGUUGGAAAGAAAACAGACUUAGAGUCACACAGAUCUGGAUUCAUGAUCAUUUCUACCAUUUAAUAUCUGCAUUGUUAUUUGAUCUCAUGAAGACUCAGUUUUGUCAUCUGUAAAAUAGGAACACAAAUGCCUUCCAUAAACAUUUCUUGUGAGGACUGAAUCAUAGAAGGUGCCUGGCAUCCUGCAAGGGCUCUACACACGCAAAUCUUUGUUUUCAUCAUCAAUGUAUCCCAAGAGACAAAAACAGCACUUGGCCCACAGUAGGUGCUCAAUAGUAUUUAUUGAGUGAAUAUUGAAUCACUAAAUGCUAUUGAUUGAGUAGAUAAAUAUUUUUGAAUGAAUAAGUGUAUGUUGGAUGAACGAAUGACUAUUGGAUAAAUAAAUAAAUAUGUACUGAGUGAAUAAACAGUUGAUAAAAUUCUACCAGAACAGAGGCAUGUACCCCCAGAUGCUCAAGAAGUGUUGUUAAUGGAAGGGGUAGCCACAGGCUCGUUUGGCAGCCCUGAGACUUGCCCAUCCUCUCCCAGGCUUCUCUGUGCAGCAUUUCUCCCACUGAGGCAUCUCCGAAUUCCACAGGCUUUUUAACACCAUGAUGAUGUGCCUGGAUGUGUCUGUGAGCUGGUCGGCUACUGUACUUGAGCUGUAUCAGGAAUGAAGACAACUUCCCAGUAACCCAGUUGGAUGCAGGUCACAGAGAGGCUGGCUCCCUUUGGUACAGAAAUAGCCUUUCCCUCCAACAGGACAGUCUGUGAUGUCCUUGUUGACCCAGGACUGGGCUGACCUUGCUAAGUGAUGAGCUGUGUUUAGAUUCUAAGUGAAUCUUGUCAAGAAAAUAGCCAUUACUGCCCCCUAUCCCUUCAGCUCUUAGUGUGAUGGCUCCCUGCCCCCUUGGCCUGGCUCACUGGGGUCUCAAGGCCCCUUGCCAUAUAUCAGAGCUUCAGGGUCCCCACUUCUGAGGUGGCGAAUCUUUGUGACUCUGGAAUUUGACUUCCUAACCUCACUGAAAUUCAUGGAAUUUCAAAGCCUUGGCUCCUUGUCAGGCAAGGUGGAGUUCAGGUUCCCGGGUUUUUGUUUUUGUUUUAUUUUUUUAGUGGGGUGAAAGCCAGGCCAUCCUCCCUUGGGUGUUUUCAAUAUCUGGGGCAAAUUACACUGUGCCUCUGGUCACCUCAGCACCAGCAUCCUUGCCAUAAGCCACCAAUUCUUUUUUUUGGGUAGUAAUGUCUUUCUUUAAAUUUUAUUUUGUUGGAGUAUAGAUAACUUACAAUGGUGAUUUAGUUUCAAGUAUGCAGCAAAGUGAAUCAGUCAUACACAGAAAUGUAAUGAGAAUGUAGAGUACAGCAUGGGAAAAUCUACUCAAUAGUAAGCCACCUAUUUCUAUCUGGUGAAAAUGAACUUCAAAGGCAGCCAUAAAAGAAGGUAAAGAGGGAGGAGACAUCACAAAAGGAAGCUUGGGGUGGAGGGUGCUGAGGAAGAGCGGAGAGAAGAGAAAGCGAGGAACCUCACUGGUAGGGCCGUGUCCACUUCUGUGGGGAGAAGGAGGAAAGGUUCUGAAACCAGAGGGUCUCUGUGCCUCAGAUUUGGGUUUUGUGUGGGAGGUCCCCGUCUCCAUCGCAUUUUCCUCUGGCCUUAGGAUCUCUGCUGAAAGUGGAGCAGGGAGUGUAAGCGGGCACAUAAAACCCAGGGCCCCAGAGGACUGAGCUGGGAAGUGCAUGUCUCAGGCUCCCAAUUCUGUACGCUCCAGGGCUGGCGCCCACUGUUCUAUGUGUGUGUUUUCCAGGCAGCCCUGUCCCUCCAUGUCUAAUACUCACUGGAAAAUAAGAAAAGACAUGUCCUUUGCCUUAGGAUUGCCCACAUGCUACCACUUGGCAGCCCUUCAGGAUUUUAUGACAAAUAGUAAUGAAUAAUUAACAAAUCAUUUGAGCUGCUACCAAAAAACCUGAAGAGAAUAGCAGUGCCUCAGCUCAGGCAGCCCCAGACAGGCCUUGACCAUGUUUCCUCUCCUAGUAAAGGCUACCCCAAUAUUCUAGAUCUCUGAGAACAGCCUCGCAGCCAUCAGGGGACCAGGUCACUCGUUCCCGGGUUCUGCUUCUCCCUGGGCUGCUCUCAAGAGAAGGAGACAAAUGGAACUGGUGUCUCAACUUUCUCUUGGUCCUGCCACACUUCCUGUCAGUGAGUAAAGUUUGGGUGGGAGGAGUUCAACCCGUGUGGGAGGACAACUUCAUACACUGCCCAUACCCAACCAAGGAUACUUGGCACUGCCUGGAGAUAGAUUGUUGUAACUGCUGUUGAUACUGGUACCUAGUGAAUUGAAACCAGGGAUGCUGCUGAGCAUCCUUCAGUGCAGUGGACACCCCCGCUACAAAGCAUUAUCUUAUGCAAAAUGUCCACCUCUCAACAGAGUAACAGAAGGACCCCCCACACACACACCUGUCCCUACCCCAAUCAGGAUUCAGUGCAUCCUGGUGCCUGGAGUGAGCCCAAGAGCAAAGACACUUGGGCUCCCCCGAGUGGUGACUAACACUAUGACAGGCAAGAAGAAGGCCCCAAAGCUGUAGGGGGUUUGGAUAGCAAUAGAGAAAGGGAGAGGGAAAGAGAGAGAGACACACAGAGAGAAAGACAGAGAAGGAGAGAGAUAGUGUGUGUGUGUGUGUGUGUGUGUGUGUGUGUGUGUGUGUGUUAAAUAAGUCAUUUUAUCCAUCACAAAAUAUGCUUUGUUUGAUGGCGACUGCAAUUUUCAUGAAUCAUUAAUGAGCCAUUUUCCUCUCUCCAUGUUGUUAAUAUCCACGCAGAGGUCUUUGAGUUGAGAGCAGAUUUCCUUCUGAUUCGUCAGGGUGUUUAUUUUUUGAAAGAUGUCCUUCUUGUUUAGAGUAGCACUUGAGUGUGAACUCUUUCUUUCUGUUUGUUAAGAUUCCAAUUCUGACUGUACAAACCUAAAUCAUGCACAGUCUACUCUGCCACAUCUGCAAUGAAGAAUCUGCAAAACACAUCUAGUCUAUGACAGAUUGUUUGGUGUCCCAACCAAGCACUACUUUUCCGAUGGAUUAUUUAAAGUCCAACUGACCUUUCUCAUUUACCAAUAGCCUGUCAUCAGGUCACUCUCAUAUUCACAGUCAUAAUAAUCCUAUUCAUUGAGUAAAUCCCACAAGACAGGUACUGUGUCACAUUCGUGUACUCAUGCAAUCCUCAUGACAAGCCUAUGAGAUAAUAUUAUUGCAUGUCACAGAUGAGGAGCUGGAGACAUAAGAUAAGUAACUUCACAAGAUCACUGAGCCAGCAAGUAAGGCAUCAAGAAUCAAGGUCUGUCAGAUCCCAGGGAAUGCUAACUAUCCCAUGUAACUUUCAGGACUCAGGUCAAGUAGAACAGCUCUCCAAGCAGUCCUCAGGGUCUCUGCCAAGCUCUCAACCCCUUCCAUCCAGCUUCCAGGCUUGUGACAUUCUCUUCGUGAGUCCUCUGCUUCUGAGAUUGUUUCCUACCUGGAAGCGCCUCAGCUUGGCUCUUUCUUAACUUCUGGUCAGCAUGCCCCUUUUCCUCACCAGAAAUGCCCUCCCUUUCUUUCUGACCCUUCAAAUUCUAGUUUUGCUUCAAAGUAAAGUUCCCACCACCACCGCCAUGAAGGCGUCCCUUAUCUUUUCCAUUUUGAGAAUGCAGAUGCUCUAGGUUUGAAAGCAAGCCUGCCUGAAUCUGAGGUCCUGGCUCUUUCCAGGACGGGAGAGAGAAAAGAGUAACCUAUCUCUGCCAUUCACUGGUUUUACAAUGCAAAUUUUUGUACCU
rnacentral:lncRNA from 1 species